rnacentral:lncRNA from 1 species
GUACAGUGUGUUUGGGGGAGAUUUUUCAUCCUGGUUCAAGAGUGACUUUCCCUGCCGUUGUUUCACGAUCUUUCUGGCUUUGUCCUGUAUGUCCGGUCGUCAUCCAAAUACCCAAGAGGAAGGGGUUCUAACAUCACCUUUGUAAAUGUGAGACGCUGUCAGAUAGUUCUCGGUUAGAGCUAGAAGAGUGGAACAGAAGACAGGGUCAGGGAGGCUGUGUCAGAGGGGAGCCGUGCAUCCUUACCUCGGAACCUGCUCCUCUGCUUUCAUCCUAGUGAUGUUAGUUAGCUGUUCCUUGCCUUUAAGAAGAGUGGACGGGCUUCACUCUGAAGCUUUCUUUUAGGGCACUUGGAGCUCUUUUGGAGCAGCUGGGAUUUUUAUUGGUAAUAAUGCAUGGUACAUGCAGGCCUCUCAGUACUUAUUCUCAAAGAGACCUAAAUCAACUGUAGCCUAUUUUAUUAAGGUAUUUUUCUCCCUAGAACUUAUAGCAAGGCAGUUGAUAGUGGUGGGCUUUUUUUCUUUCUUUGUGGUGCUAGGUGUAACUCUGAGACUCACUCAUGCUAAUCAAGUCAAGUCACCACAUCCCAGCCCAAUUACUACUUUUCUGUUUGCUUGCUUGAGGCAGCGUCUCAUGGAGCUCAGACUGAUUUCAAACUGAAGAUGAUUUUAAACUCAUGGUCUUCCUGCUUCUACCUCCCAAGUUCUAAGAUUCUAGGGGUGCACCAUGACUCUCUAGCAAAGCAGUUUUUAAAAGGAGCGCUCAAUAGAGUGAGCCUACAGCCUACAUCCUUCUCACUGCCUUCUUCUGUAAGUCCAUGAACACCCCGACAGUCCUCUCUGUGCAUUUGUAAAUAUUGGUGUUUAUGAAGGGCUCAGGAGGCAGCCUUCUGACUGCGUGUUGAAGCUCUGGUGCUGUGUGAGUCUCUUUAGCCUGACUGAUGAAAGCGGAAGGAAGCCCAGGAACCUGCUGGGUGAGGGGAGGUGGCUACUGUUUGUUGAGACUGUGCUUUCUUAGGGCACUGCGUUAGGCACAUGUUUGUUUCUCACAGCAAGUCUCUGAGGAAUAUAUUUUUUUAUAAUUACUUUACAAAGGAAGAAACAGGUUGUAGAAGUUUAAUGAGUUGCUCAGAGCUAAUGAAAAACUCAGGAUUCUAACCUAUAUCUGUCUAACUUUAAAGACUUAAACCUUACUUUAAAAAAAUUGUUUUAGUGUGUGUAAUUUUAGUCAACAAUUGCUUAUAAGAAGAGCAAUCAGAAUCUUCCGUUUCUGCCAAGUUUUUGUUUUAGGUAGAAUCUCACAUAGCUCAUGGACUCUGAUCCUCCUGCCUCUGACUCCCAAGUUCUGAGUUUAUUGGUAUGUGCCACCAUACUCAGCUAUGCAGAUAUUUCAUUUUCAAGGCAGUAUGUUUGCCUGGACAUCGGUUGGGGAAUAUUGCUCAUUUUAUAGUGCAACCUGAAUACAAGCCUAAGGCAAGAUGGCCUAAGAUAAAAUUGUGGGCAGAUGCAGUUGGAUAAGUCCUAGAGGUAACUAUUGUUUUUGUAUCUCCUGAGUAGUUUAAUGUGGAGUCAGGAUUGGGAACCAUUGGGUUUGAACAAAGGUUCUGAAGCCCAUUUACCUGGAUUCAAAUUCUUUUUGUCGCUCUGUAACCUUGGACAAAAUUAGACAGAACUGUCAGGAGUCUGUCAACAUGUUGCAGCUCUUAGAUUGGUGCUUUGGCACAUAGUAGGUAUCUAGUGGAUGUUAGUUAUCUGGCGUUCUUCUAAGUAGUCACCUGAGCAAACCAGCUUCAGAGAGGGGAACUGAAAUGAGUAUCUUCAUACCCACAGCUAUACCAGCUGUCAACUAAUUUUUUUUUCUUAUUAAUAUCAACAAUAAUAACACUUGUUAAAUGCUUACUGAGUAACGGUUGCUCUGCUACAUGGCUAAUUUGUCCUUUAGCAAUCCCCUGGGGGAUGAGAAAAUCAAAGUGCUGAGAGGGAGUGAAAAACUUGCAGGACUGCACUUGAAGGCUGGACUGACUAGAAGCCGGUGUUUUUAUUUUGCUAGCAUUCAGGGACACAGCUUGGCACAGGCUACAUCUAGUAUGCAUCAACAGGGAUUUGCUACUUUUGGAUGUCUAUAUAGUAGAUUGCUAAAUAGCUUUGGUCCUCAUGUCUCCAGGAUCAGAGCUUUUAUGGUUGGAAGGGACCUUCUAGAUUAUUUAGACCAGCUCCCUUCCUAAUACUUCAGGCCUUUUGUCUUCCAGAGAAGGUAUACAAAUCAUUAUGGGGCAGGCAGCUUUGUCUUAGGACACUUGCCUGUGUGGAACAUUGCUCUCUACGAGUUUCUGUCUGGUAACCAGGUUGCUUUGUGACUCCUAGGAAAACCACUGUUAAGUACUUUCCUCUUUCAUACAGUGAUGGCUAUAGAAAUACGACCUCAGGGGCUGGAGAGAUGGAUGGCUCAGAGGUUAAAAGCACUGGCUGCUCUUCCAGAGGUCCUGAGUUCAAUUCCCAGCAACCACAUGGUGUCUCACAACCAUCUCUAUAGUGAGAUCUGGUACCCUCUUCUGGCCUACAUGCAGGCAGAAUGUUGUAUACAUGAUAAAAUAAAUCUUAAAAAAGAAAGAGAGAGAGAAAGAAAAAGAGAACUACAGCCUCACUGCCCUUCUUUUCUAUCUUUUGAGACAAAGUGUUAGGAUAGCCCAGGUGGCCUAAAGCUUAGGUAGUCCUCUUGCCUUCUAAGUACUGGGUUACUAGUGUGAGCCAUCUCGUUUGGUCCUGACCAACUUUCUUUUGUUUGACGUGUCUUUCUGGUCCCCCGUCUCUCUGGGGUUUCUACAUGUCCUUUCUUAGGUGCUGUGUAGACUCUGGAUAUGGUAUCUGUGUUGAACAGCAGGCUUGUUGGUCCUUGUCCUCUCUCUUGUGCCAACCAGGGCAGUGGACCUGUCUUCAGCACAGAAGUUUCCUGAACGUGUGGCUCUUAUCCUACCUGCUGAGUGCUGUGCUAGGGUUGCGGGGUUGCAUCAUCACACCUGGUUGAUACAUCACUGUAUCUUCACCUUGAGUCUGUAUAGUUUCUUUUUUCUUGAUCCAGUUGUCAGCUGAGUUGUACAGUGUAUUUCCAUCUGCAGAGGGACAGCUGCACCGAUUUCCUGGGCUGUGCACAUUGACUCUCAUGGCACACCAUCCACAGUAUCCUUUGAAUUGUGUUGAUUUAGUAAUCUUGUC